rnacentral:lncRNA from 1 species
AAUUAUUGCUCCGAUAAUGGAAAAUACUGUGUAGUGACAAUUAUUAAAACAACAGUAAUAUAAAAUAUCAACGCAACAAUUAUUUAAUCAAUAAAAUACUGAACAGUAAUUACUGUAACAAUUAUUGAGUAGUGCCUUCUUACGUAAGAAUCAAUAAUUCAAAAAUACUGUGCAAUACCGUGUGCUACUGUGCAACAACGCGUAUUACUUUACUUUAACCACC